GGCCGACUAGCUCAGCUGGUUAGAGCGUCGUGCUAAUACGGUAUUCGAUCGUCGGAUUCCAGUUAACGCGAAGGUCCUGGGUUCGAUCCCCAUGUUGGCCA
rfam:Hydnomerulius pinastri MD-312 unplaced genomic scaffold scaffold_39, whole genome shotgun sequence.